UGUAAAUACAUAAAACAUACAUAAAAAAUAAAAUUAAAAAAGAAAUGAAAAAAAAUGUUUGUCUUUAAUGUAGAGGUACACAUAUUUUAUUAUUAAACAGUAAUAAAUCCUUAUGUGAUAGAACUUGAAAUUUUAUUUUUUUGUAGCAGUAUGUAUAAUGUAAUGAUGAAUUGUCAAAUCCUGAUUGCUUACAGUGUGAGGAAGGUUAAUCUCUUUUUUUUUCCAGUUGUCACCCCUGAAAAAUUCCAAGUAAAGCAUUGGCCUGAGAGAUACUAUUGCUCUGGCUGAUAGAAUAAACAUCAGAGGGAAUAAACAAAAUACCUAAUCAUGAAGGGAGAAGACAGGACCUACUGUCUCAAUUCACUAUCCCAGACUCAUUUUGUGACACUGUCUGACCACAGUCGGGUGGAUAAAAUCAAUCCGACCAAGAUCACCAAAGAAUGAAUGUGGUAGCUGUCAUAGAAUUUCAAUAGUAGUGUUCUCUAUGUAAUUUGCAAAAAGCUCAAUCAGUGGGAGAAUCUCUUCAAAGUAACUUAUCAGGUGAUCCAGUUGCACAGCAAGGUAUUUAUUGUUUCUGUAACAGACAGCAGUUACAGAUUGUACAUCUAGUUUGUUUCAUGAACUUUUUGAGACUUGCAAAUUGGUUCUAUCCUGAGUCAUGUGAGCCUGUUCAAUCCUUCUGGGAUGGAAUGUUUCAAGUCUGAGCACAUUGCUAUAAACACUUCAGUAAAUGUAACUGCUAGUGUAAUAAGGACUGUUACAAAGGAGAUAUAAGUUUGUAUAACUUUUAGAAAAAUAUUGAAUAAAUUUGGAGUUGUGAGCCAUUUAUAUCUCAGUACUCUCAUUCAGAAGAUAGUAUUUUAUGCAUACACUCAGACCAGUAAGAACCCUGUCUUUUGUGUAAGUCUUUAAAAUACUCACAAGAAAGGAAGAUUUCCUUGAUAGAAGUCUGUAUAAGCAAGCUGUAGAUUAUUUAUUCAAGUACAUAGUAUAAAGUAGGUAAUUUGUAUGAUUAAGACAGUCUGAUAUCAAAAUUAGCAUUCAACAGAAAAAUGUUACAAUGUUAGGAAGAAAAAAAAGGUAACAACUAUAUAUAUAUAUUAUAUCUAUAUCUUUUGUGGUGUCAGCUAAGAGUUUGAGGAGCUAAGUUUCAAAAUGAUAAUUGCUAUCCAUGUUAAGUUUUCUAUCAUGUACUCUUGUUUGCCCGUGCUGUGGAAAGUAACUUGUAUCUCAAGAGCUAUCCUGAGGAGCAGUGCAUAUGAUCAGUGACUGAGAAAGUCCUCAAGCUAGCAGUGGAUGAAUGGUGAGAAACCAAAUUCUGACAAUAAGGAUGCUCUGGCUUAUAAGCCCCUCUACCUAUAGCCCACCUAUCACAUGAGACCAUGACAUUGGAUGACUCCUUUAUAACAGCAUUAUAUGUAAUCUUAAAAAAUAGGUAAUUAAUCAAGAAUCAGAUGAUUCCCCAGAAACAACAAGAACAAUGACAAUGACAACUAAUGGAAGAGUGAUUUUUGUAAGCAUCAAAGAUAAUUAGUACAGAAAGGGUAAACACUUGACAGGAACUGUGUGGCAGCCUGGCCAUAUUGGUAAGUUAUCAUCAAUGUACUAUUUCUUUGUCUUUAGCUUGGCUUUGCUGUGCUCUGCAGUUUAAUCCUUAUGUUGGUAACAUAAGGCAGCUGCAAGCUCUAUGAAUGUAUCCCUCAUCUCUACCAAGUCCUCUGCCACAGGAACUGUAAAAGAAAGCACAUAAAAAAUUAAUAUUUUCUAGGAAGCAUGUUUUAAAAAGUGAGUAAAACCCAUUGAAAUUCAUUGUAAAAAUAUUUAAUUUAUUCAAAAUAUUCAGAGCUUAUUUCAGAAUUUAAGCUGUACCAGCGUUAAGUUAAUGAACAUUUGUCUUUUUCUUAUAAAUAUACACACAAAUACAUAUUUCAUCAGAUUACAGUUAAGAAUGUAACUUCAUAUUUCAUGUUUUAUGAAUAUAUUUGGAAGCUUUAAGUAGUAAAAUUCAAUGUUAAAUUAAAACACUUGAAAUUCCCAUUUUCUACUUAAAGUAUUCAAUAGUUACAUGUCCAGAGGCUACCCUAUUAAAGAGUCUGACACCCAGGGAUAUUUAGUCUGAAAAGGAAUAUUAUUUUUCAAACUACUAUCAUUUUUCAUUUAUAUUACUGCUUUUGUUCUGUAAUCCACAGAAAAAUUUUGAUAACAAUCAAUGUAAAUGGACAAGAAAUUCCAUUUUAGAAAAGUACUCAGCUCCUUCUAUAUUACAUUUAUCCCAGAAAGUUUGAAAACUAUUCCCCACUUGCAUCUUCAAGGUCAUAGAAUCUGGUUGACUUGGUAGGUGCUUUGUUACAAUCUAGGGGGUUCUGAGCUUUUCAGAGAAGAGUGGUUAAAACACAGGGACUGCACAUUCCCACUUACCCAUUCGAACAGUCUCUGAGCUCUUUCAGGUGGCUUCUAGGAAUACUGUUAUGUUGUUUUUCCAGAUGAUUCAACCAUAUAAGGAGUAGUUGCCUGACACAGAGAGGUGGAAGCAAAAAUGCUGAUCAAAUCAAUUAAAAAUAAAGGAUGACUUUGUACUUGAUAUCCAACAAUCACAUGCUCUUUCAGAUUUCUUAGUUCAUAUGUAAUAUUUUCAUAUCAUCUAAUAUAUUUAUGUGUAUAUAUUACAUGUAAAUAUGUGCAUAAAUAUUAUACAUAUAAGUGUGUCUGUUCUGUGUUGAUGCCUUCAUGUUCUCCUGUGAUGGUGCUGUUCCCCAGAUACUUUUGUAAGUAACCAUGUAUUUUGUUUUAUCCCAUUUUUCUUCAUCUUGUCUUUUGGCUGUUAUCUACGUUGUGCUUCUGACAUUUCAGGUAAUCACUUGGAAAUAAGUUUGCUCUAUUAAGUUGUUUCUACUGCAACUAUUUCUUAUGGUAGACUCCAAAUAAUAUAGCUCUAGCAAUUACAGUAUGGUGCAGCCCUACAGUUUGUAGCCAACAAGAAGGUUGGACUUUUCAGAUACACAAAGCUUUUUUUUUUUGUUAAAUUCAGAGAUCUGUAUCUUAGUCUUGACCUCUUAGUUUUAUUAAAUGUUCUUAAAUAAUCCAUACCAUAAUAGCAAUAUCAGAAAAUUUGUGUGUGACUUUUGUAACUUACAAAUAUUCAAGUUGUAGAAUUUUGAGUUUGUUGGCUUGGUUGUUCAUUUGUUUGUUGGUCCCUACUCAAACUACUAAUGACCAUGAAUCAGCAUUAACUUAUGGGCUGACAUCUACUCUAGCUAUUCUGUAAUUGUCUCUGCCAGGUGGAAGGACUUCCAAGGAAUUUGUUAUAGAAAGGUCCUUAUCGUUUAUCUCAGAGGAACAGACAGGACAUUUGUACAUGGAUUUUUAGAAGAAGCUGACAGCAUGACCAAUGUCAAUUUUCCAAACUGAGUACAGAAUCAUUUCACAAGUUGGUAGGUUAUUUGUAAGAUUAAUCUAUAAUAAGAUUAUUUACAUUUAUUUCCUCUUUAAUUUUAUGUUAGGAUCCUAUCUUAGAAAAAUAAAUAAGAAUUCAUCUAUGCCCAGUAUAUUAUUAAAGAUCAUUAUAUUAAAUCAUCAGAAACAUUCUUUGUUUUUAUCAUAAAGGACAGUUAUUACAGAGUUUUCAGUUUGAUGCUUCUGAAAAUGUUAAACCUGGAGGAAGAAUAUUUUAACUGUACAAUCAAAAAUUGUUUUCAUGAAGACUUUUUUAAAUAUAUUAAAUACUAUGUUACUUUAUGUUAAAAUAUUAAAAAAUAUAUCUUUUGUAACUAUGCCCAGGUCUUGACUGGCUCCAUCCAGCCCAGUCUGUUCUGGAAUUUUACAAUAUGUCACUUCUUCAGCAUUUGAGAUAAAGUCUUUAACCAUUAUUUUGUGUCCUGCAAAAAGAAGUGUUGUGAGAAGAGGUUAAAUUAUUUUCCUAAUGAAAUUAUUCCUAUUUCUUUAGAAAAAUAUUUUCACAUUUGCCACACAUGGUCUGGAACAGCCACUUAUGAUGGGUAAUCUGGACGUUCAAAAGUAUAACAGAAAAUUCCAGAAGUAGAUUAACAGAAUAAGCAUAGGUCUUACAAUCAAAGUAUUUAAAAAUAAAAAAUAAUAUUUUGAAAUAAUAUUUUGAUUUGUAUUUCUGUGAUGAAUGACAAAGUUAUGCACUAGUUUUAAGUGUUUCUUGGGCAUUUGUGCUUCUUCUUUUUCCAUUUUUAAUUGGUUAUUUUAUUUGUUAACAUUUCAAUUGUUAUCCCCCUUCCCAGUUUUCCCUCCAUGAGGGUGCUUCCUCACCCACCCAUCCACUCCUACCUCACCACUAACAUUCCCCUAUGCUGGGUCACUGAGCUUCCAUAGGCCAAGGGGCUCUCCUCCCACUGAUGCUAGAUAAGGCCACCUCUGGUACAUAUGCAGUUGGAUCCAUGGGCCCCUCUAUGUGUACUCUUUGGUUGGUAGUUUGUUUCCCUUGGAGCUCCCAGGGGUCCAGGUUACUUGAUAUUGUUGUUCAUCUUAUGGGGUUCCAAACCACUUCAGCUCCUCCAUUGUUUUUUUUUUGUUUUGUUUUGUUUUUUUUGUUUUCUGUUUUUUGUUUUUUUUGUUUUUUUGACAAGACUCUUUCUGUUUAGAUAUGUGCUCCCUUGAUAUUGGGGUUAUUUGUUUUAGAUUAUGAUAGUAUCAGAUGUAUUAUUGAUAAAAAUCUCUUCUAUAGCCUGUUUCUUUCUCUGAAUAAUGUUUUAUGCCAUACAAAAGCUUUACAGUUUUACAAUAUCCCAUUUUUAAUUGUUUUUUCAUGCCUGUGCUCAUGAUAUUCUGUUCAGAGAGGCUUUUCCUGUGCCGACGAGUUCGAGACUAUUUUUCACUUUGUCUUCUACCAGAUUCAGUAUAUCUGCCCUUAUACUGAGGCCCUCAAUUCAUUUGGAAUGGAGUUUUCUACAGAGUGAUAAGUUUGGACCUAUUUUUAUUCUUCUAUGUGUAGCCAUCCAAUUUGACCAAUAGCAUAUGUUGAAAAUGUUUUGUUUUUCUGGUGUUUAUUUCUGGCUUCUUUGUCAAAAAUCAUGUUUCCAUAGGUGUGUGGACUUAUGUUUGGGUCUACAUUCAAUUCUCUUGCUCAAAAUAUGUGUUUUUAUUUUUAAUACCAUUUCUCUUUUUAGUACUUUAUCUCUGUAGUGCAAUUUGACAUCAUGAAUGGUGGCACAGGAUGAAACUAAAUACUACUGUUUUGGUAAGGGAACAUAGCAAUGCAAUGACUCCUGAUAUCAUUCUGUUAUACUCAUAGACAAGUGUCCUCCUCAGCCAUAGUCAGAGAAGCAUCCUCCUUCAAUGGAUAGAGACAAACAACAGUGAUCCAACAUUUACAACUGCAAAAUGCAGAUAGUGAGGAACCGGGACACACUCAGUCCUAAAUAUGAUGUCUCCAUCAAACUCAAUCCCUUGCUCAGGGAAGUAAGAGAAUGAGGAGGCAGAGAGAUUAUAUGAGCCAGUUGGAGCUAGUUGUGACUAGAACGAAACAAAGCCUUCGAAACAGAGCAGGACUGAUGCACAUGGAAACUCACAGAGACUGGCAGAAUGCACACAGUGUGUAAGUCUAAGCCAGAUGGAAUCCCAGCACUGAAAGGCACAAACUCCCAUCCUUGAGAGUUAUCUAGAGCUUAUCUUCAAUUGAUUAACAAAGGGAAAAUGAAUUUUCUCCAGCAGGCUUCCACUGAAUAUAAAAACAACACUUAAGGACAAGCACCUUGCCCAGUAGUAGAUGGCUAACACAAACAAACUCAACAGAGAUUUUGAAGGUUGGCUUGGUCCCUUAAUGCUUUAUCUAGACAUUUAUAAAAAAUUAUACCCAUUAUUAUGUUUUGAUUACAUAAUAAAGGCUAUAGUUUUGCCGUUUUUAUGGGCUCUCUGAGUGUGGGAAUGUGUGUUUUUGAGUCUACAUGUAUUUCUUGUGCUUUUUCUUUAGCACUUACUCCUCGUCUGUGCAUUUGUUUAUUUUGUACUUUUCCUCUUUCAGAUGACUGUUCAUUUUCUAUUGAGGCAGAGCGACAGAGAAUUCGGAUUUCAGUUGUAUGUAGAUGUAGUUGAUGUCUAUAUGCAGGUGAGGGUUGGGCUGGCACAAGAUAAGGCAAAGCGUGUGAUUGGGCAGUGAAAAGAUAAGACAGGGACAAAUAUUUUGUAACAUGUGAGAGAGGAAAAGAAAGGAGGAGAACCAAGAUGGCAGGUGAGGACGACCCAGAUCCAGAUUCAUAAGGGAUGAAUAUUUAUAGGAAAAUUUGUGUUAUAUAGGUGGGAAGUUUAUAUCAUUGUCAAUUGGUUGUGAGUUUAUUGUACAGACGUUUUGUGGAGUUUGAAUUUACUGGUAUAAAUCUGAUUGCUAAAUUACAAACUUAAUGAGUUUUGAUUUUAACAGGAUACUGGGAAUUGUAACUAUAGCCAAAGGGGGCGGACCCUGGGAAUAUGAGCAGAGUCCACAGCAAGAGAGCCACUAGAUAGGUAGACUCUGUAUGGAACUGGAAUGGAGGCGACCAGCCUCGGGAACUAGAUGAUAGAAUUGCAAAAAAGGAGUAGCAGUGUGGGAUGGAGAUGGGAGCUUAGUGGUUGAGAGGCUUUGCUGUUUGAGAUGAAAAUACCAUGCAGAUGCCAUGUGACCCACUGGAGCCAUUACUAACAUGGGUUAAAGAUUCAUUCUCCCCAUUUACUGCAACAUGUAGGUGGGUAGGAUCUGGGACUAUUUGAGGGAGUGGUAAUUAAUCUGAAUAUUUUUGCCUGAAACAAUAUAUUUUCUAAAAAAAUGAAAGAAAAAGUAAGAAAGAAAUAAAAGAAAGGAAGGAAGAAAGGAAGGAAGGAAGGAAGGAAGGAAGAUAGGAAUAUCAGAAACUGAAGUUAACCUUUAGCUGCAUAGAGUUUAAAGCCAGUCUGGAUGACAUGAAAUUUUUAAGACAAAAUGUCAUGUUAUGCCUUAGCAAAACAAACUGGAAUGAAAUGCAAAAAAAAAAAAUAGUUGACUAACUAGAUUAUCAAAAAUAUCUACUAUUUUAUAAGAAACAUGAGUAAGUUUUGUAUAAGAAAUAUUGGCAACAGAAUAGAAAACAAUGUAGAGUAGACAAAUGGUUGGAUCUCUGUCUCUAAAUCUGUAUUUUGUAUGUUUUUGACUGGACAUAUAUUCUUCUCAGAGGUCAUAGUUACCAUUACAAACAGCAAUAUUCACACGGGAGACUCACGAUUGACUUAGAAGAAUAUAGAAACACUUGUACUCUAAAAACCGGCUUCUUAAAAGUACAGAUAUUUUUACUUUGUAAUGUGAAUUUCUAGAGUCAAGUUAUACUGAAGUCCAGACAGUAGAUUAGAAGUAAUAAAGUUCGAAAGGUUUGUUGAUUAACUUCUAGAAAGUGGUAAGUAAAGAAUGAAGUCAAUUAGAUUUUCUGCCUGUGUAAUUGCUUGUUUUAGAAAUGAAAAACUCAGACAGAUACGGUUUUUGAGAAAAAGACUGAUAUGUAAUUUCUGUGUAAGUUAACAGUUUUUCACUAGACAUUUUGUGUAUCUUUAUAUUAAUAAGAUUUUGGACAUGUAUACAAAAGAAACAAAUGAAUCACCUUUAUAAUGUUAAUUUUAAAAGGUCAAGUAAAGUGGCUAAAUCACUCAUGGUCUACUAGUUUUAUAACCAUAACUAUUCUACUAUAAGUAACUUUAUAUUUAUUUCUUAAAUUUACAUUCCAUUUACAUUUCUUUAUUAUUAUCACUUUGAAUAUAAAUGAUAAUUUAAAAAUUGUUUGAAGUACAUUUUCUACCUUUUGUCUUAGUAAAGGAUUUUUCAAGGUCUUGAAACUUGUCAAAAAAAAAAAGGCUUGGUUGCCUGAACACUAGAUGUUAAAGUUCAUUUGUCAAAAAAUACCCACCUUUUUGCACUGGUUCUCUAACCAAUCGUGUAUAUUUGUGUAUCAAAAUUAUAUAUACACAUUAAAAAUUUUUGAACAUAUAUGCAUGGCCACCAUUAAACUUGAUAUUUUUAAUUCUAACAGCUAUCAAAUACUUUAUUGAAAAUCAGGGUAAAUUUUUGUGUUCAAAUAAAAUAUUUUAUAUAAUUAUGAGGUAUCAUUAAAAUGCAGAUUAUCAAAUAGCUAAAGUGAAUAAUUUUCAAAUUGUUUAAAACAUACUUUUUCUUCUCAUUCUUUUGAAUAUAUAAUGUGUCUGUACAUUAAACCUACUAAUUCAAAUAGUUAGGAAUGAAUAUCUAAAACUGGGAACCUUUUCCCACGUGUAUUUCAAAUGAAUCACCACAGAAAAUAUUCUCAUUACGAGAGAAAGAUAUAUAAUUAAGAGUAGAAAUUAUAAAAAGUAUUAUCAUGAAAAUUUUUAUUAUUUAAUAUAAGGAGUUUCACUUGAUCCUUUUUCUCUGUGGAGUUUUAUUUGAGGAAUUGCAAAUUAACAAUACUUUUGGUUUUAGAAAUAUUUUUAUUGGGUGGUAAUUUAGCUGUAUGAAAUCAUAUUACAUUGAAAUGAGUUCACGUAGAAUAUCAAAGCAGUUUUAAUGUACAUUUUAAUAACUAAGGGUGUGAAAUUCAUUUUCAAGCAUUUGCUGACUAUUUCCAUUUCUUCUUUUGAGAACUAUUUAUUCCUUUUGUUAGUUUAUUUACUGAUUUGUUUGUGCAUUUCCAUUCCUACAUAUUAUAUUUCUACAUCCUCAAAGGUUCUCUGCCAUAUAUUUCUUACUUUCUAAUUGGUCCACAUAUGUAUUUAUAAAUUGUUAUAUACCUUCAUCACUAAUGAUUUUAUAAUUAUGCUAGUCAUGAUCUAUUUCUAAGAGUGAAUAAGAAUUUCAAGGGCAUGUGAAAUGUACAUUAUUUUGGUAAAUUGUUAGGUGUUGUUUUAGUUUAUGAGAAGCUGGCUUUGAAGGCAGGGUUGAUACCCACCUCCAUUUAUGAUACAAGAAUGUUUGUCUUAUAGUGUCCUCAUUACCUGGUACUGAAGUGGCCCCUACCUCCAUGACAAGAAGGGGAGAUAACAGAAAACAGCUCCAGAGUAAAAACAUUGUACACUUGAGAAUAGGUAGAAGACAAAAUAUUCCCAACAGACAUUACCAUUUAAUUUAAAAGCGCAUUGGACAAGGGAUGCUGGAAGGUCAGUCAUGGAGAGAAAGAAAGCUCAAAGAGGAAUUGGAGCUGACUGACACAACUUUCCAAGAUUCUGCAUGGUGUCAUGAACAUGAAAUUUAAUGCUGUCAUUUGUAUCCUUUUAUUUGUUCUUUUACAUAGAAGUCUCACCCUCCCCACCAGGGUGAAUUUUAAAUAGGAACCUCUAGCUGGCAGCCAUAAAGGAGUCUCCUCAGUGGAUUCUGCUGGAUGAUUCAGUACCUGAUGUGAGGAUGUCUGAUGCCUCCAUGUCUUCCUUACUGAACAUACUCUCAUUCAAAAGAACAGUACAUGUCCAUAGUUCUAAUGGAGAUCAUCCUGAGACAAGACGUUUUUUAUGAUCAGAAAAUGUUAAAUUUUCACUCCAUCACUCUGUGCUGGGUGAAGAGAGGAGAGACCUGCCCAGAACUAUGAACACUGGUUAAUACCCAUGCCAUUUCCCCAGAAGCUAACCAUGGGAAAAAAAAUCAAUGAAGGUGAUAUCACCUGAAUUCUACUGUGAACAAAUUUUAUCUCUCUAAAGCCCAUUUUGCACUUACAUGACUCUUCAGGAAAUAUGGACUGUGUACCAUGGAAUCUCCCUCCUAAAGUGGUAGGUAUCCUCACAGCCUUUGCUAUUGGAUUAUCAUGAGGUAAAAGUGUCUGCAAAACAUUUUGUAGUGUUGCCAUUUCCUCCUGAGCAAAACUCUAACUACAGGUAGACAAUUUCUAAGUACAAUAAAAUGUUCAAGAAUAUAACUGUUUCUAUUGGGACAGAAAGUUAAAAUAGGCUUUGUAUAUGUUUGAAUUAUUAUAGAAAGAAUUAUGCCUGUACAGUGAAAGAAUACUGCAUCACACUUUAGAAACAAUUGGAAAUAACUCAACAGGAGUUUCUUCUUAAGGAAACUCUUAUUAAUAUGCAUUUAACUAACAAAAAUGUAUCUUCAAUUAAGUGUACAAUUUAAUAAUUUAACAUCCUUAUAUAUUUGGAGAUAGUUAUAAUUAAUUUAGUUAAUGAAACUAUUCUUCAGAAAGUUUAGUUUGCUAUUGUCUCUACGUAGUGUUUUAAUUUUGCUUCUGGGGUGAAUAUUUGUAGUUCAACUUAGAAGUUUUAGGUAAACAUUAUCAUUCAUUGGUAUAUUCAUAACAUUUUAUUAAAUAUAAAAUAUAUUUAGUACUUUGUAAUCCAUUCAGCUUGAAUAGGAAAUUGUGCUCACUCCAACGUAUAGAAUCUGCUCUUUCCCUUACUCAAAGUUUUCUCUCACUGACGGUUCAUGACACAUGUUGUGCUUCAAUGAGUUAAAGCAUUUUAUGUCUUCUAUAUGUAUAAGAUCAUUUAAUGGUUGGUUGACUUUAUGCCUCUUGUUUACUUAAUUAUCAUAAUGACCUCUGUGUUUUUUCAUUAAUGAAAAAAUGGUAGGACUUCCCUCUUUUUAAAGGAUCAAUUCAGUCCCAUUGUACAGGUAGAGAGAGAAUUGUCUGACCAGGGGUGGCUCCCACCAUCUGAAGAAUUUCCUACAUAGGAAGAACAACAAUAUCAACCAAUCAGAUCCCCUAGAGAUCUAAGGGACUAAACCACCAAACAAUGAGUACCCAUGGGGGUGCCCAUGGCUCCAGCCACAUAUGUAACAGAGGAUGGCAUUGAUUAGCAUCAAUAGGAGGAGAAGCCCUUGGUCUCCUGAAGGCUCAUUUCCCCAGUUUAUGGGAAUGUCAGGGCAUUGAGGUGGGAAUGGGAGCAUCUUCAUAGAGAGCAGGAGCUCUGGAGAGGCAGAGCUGGCAUUUGUGGAAAGGGCGUAGGCUAGCUGUGGUCAUAGUCUCAGGAGGUUGCACCAGGCUAGGAACAAAAAGACCUCUAUGGCCAGCACCUAGCAGGGUUUAGUGUAGAUUUUUAAAAACUAAAUGUUACAGUGUAUGUCUCUAUUGUUGAAUGGACAAUGUGGUAUACCAGUUAAGUAGUGAAUUUGGUAUUUAGCCUUGUUCGAAUUAGCUUUUAAUGAACUAACUAGUCUCUAGUUAACUUUCUGCCUGGAUUGUUUAAUCAUCAUUUUAACUAGGUUCUUAAAAAUUUCUCUAUUGCAGAAUUGUCAAUCAAGCUAUUGAUAAAUAUUAAGAUAUGCUUUAUAGAUUUAGGUAAUCUGGCAUUUUUAGCAUGAUAGUCCAUUAGGUUUAUCAAAUGUAUGUUGAUUGGUGAGAAAAAAUAGAGUAACUUCCUUACUGAAUUCCUAGAUGCAAAGAUGGUCCUAUGUGAUGGUUCCUAGUGAGUUUCUAGGCUUUGAAGCCACUUAUUUCUUUAGUCAAAACACUUCUGGUAUAGUGGUCAAAAUUAGGGACAGGGUUGGCUCUUGUACGUCUACAACAUGACAUAGGAAAUUUUACUACCUGAUUUAGGUGGCAUAAAGUUGCAAGUGAAAGGUUUGCACACUAAGUAUAGCAUUGUAGCAGGCCCCCAGACUUUGGUAGGUUCCCAGACCUUAACCCAACUAAUGCCAUUCAGUUCUUGGAUAUACCAUUUCUGUCUUGGAACACAGUACAUAGAAAGCAACAUUUGCCCAAGCUAAAACAAAGACCUAAUCCAUCCAAGUUCAUAGUUCUUGGAAAGUCCCUAAAUAUACUACCCUUGCUUUUGGGUUUUAUAGGUCUACUUUUGUCUAGCUGUUCUUUCUAAAUGAGGAAUGUCAAAGCAGGAUGUAGUUUUUGUGCUAAUAAGGUCACGCAGAGAAUCAUUUGGUUCUGCACUUGGUGCCAAGCACUCAGGAUAGUCGCAGGCUGACCAAUGAAGCCUUGCUAUGUGCCCAAGUGCUCUCGUGAAUACCUCACAACAAGCAACUUUGAACACUGGUUAGUAGGCCCUGCUGAUACCAGGGAGUGCAUUGUAUCUUCUCUAAUCAGGAUGCUUGAAGGAACAUAUGCCAUGUUGGAAAUUGUCUCCUGAAGACUGAUGCUUGUCUUGUAGAUGACUGUGUAGAUUCCCUACCUGUGACAAGUAAAUGCAGAACAUGAAUCCUUUUAUUGAUUCUGUCUCUUUGAAUUUUCACCAAUAAAUACUGCUUCAGAAGGGCCAGGUAUGAAUGUUGCCUUGUCUUUAGCAGUUUAAGGGACAUAUAUAGUUACCAGUAGUUUAAAGUUACUAAUGUCUGUACUCUGGCACACCACCUCACCCCAACUACCACUAUCAUGUAUCUUCACACUGUAGGCUUCUGACAUCUGCCUAUAUUGCUGAUUAAAAUGUUGUUUACACAGAAUAAUUACAUAUUUCAUAAUAUGUCUUUUCAUGCAAAUACUUUUGAAAGACCUAGUAAGCUGGAAUCAAUGACAUUAGCAUAUUUGUAUAUAAUUUUAUUUGUUUCAUUAUAAAUAUGCUCAAUAUAUAAAUUCCCCGUAUUAGUAAUUAUACUGAUUUUUUGAUAUUUAAAAUUGUCAGGAGAUGAGUAUUCCUAAAGGUGUAUGGAAAACAACUAUUGUGAAUCUAGAGGAAGGAAAGUUAAAAUUUUUAAAUAUAAUUAUAAGCCAAAUUCAAGCAAGAGAAAUCAACACAAUAAUUAAUUCAUGUUAUUGGGUAGAAGAUAAUUUCCAAUAUUUUAUUGCACAGUACAAGAAGUGUGAAGUCACACUGGUCGCUAUGUAUGUCCUGCGGCAGACAUUCUUUGUCUAUAAAUACACUGUAUACACAGACACUGUGUUUGUUAUAUAUACAAUGACAUUUUAUGAUGAUGACAUUUUAUGCAUUGUAAGUCUUAGGAGCCAUCCUUGUAUUCAGAGAUUACUUUCUAUAGGCUAGCAUCAUAUAUGACCUGAGUUCUGUAAAUUCCUUCUAGUCAAAGUCAUUGAAAAGUUUAUCAGUUAUUCUGGGCUUAUUGUAAUUGUCCCCAAAAUUACUCCUUUUUCCUAUUUUUUUGGUGAAACACAAAUGAACUUCUAAUCAGGAUUUAGAAAUUUAUACAUAUAACCAUGCUAAUUAAAAUCAACAAGGAUUUAUUUAGUAUCUCCUGAAUCUAAAACAUAUUCCCUCAUGAUUCUCUGUCUCUUUCUGUCUAUUUAUAGUUGAUGCAAAUAUAUUGAUAUAAUCAAUUUAAAAUUGAUAUUAUAGCUUUAGAAACAGAACAGAAAUCUAUGUCAGUUUAAAAAUUUUACUUAUUAGAUUUAAUUUUUCACAAGACAUAAUGGCAUUAUUCCCUAUAAUCUCUGAUAAAAGUACAGAAAUGUUUUAUAUCUGUCAUUUCAUAGAAAUAUAACAUUUGUGACAGACUGCAUGUUCAAGAAAUGGGAUUCAGCAUGAUGUCCAAACUCCAGACAUCUUCCUUAACCUUCCUCUCCUCACAGCUGUCUGUUUCCUGCUCUCUCACCCUACGCUUGUUCCAACAGCCAUUCCUGUCAAAUAAGUAUAUUUUUGUGCUAAAAAUAUGCUCAUUUCCUUCCUAAAGUAGAUUAUUUAGGAAGUAGAAAGUGCAUUUUCUUCUGCUUAGACGAAUCUUUGCUGUGUCUCCCUUCUGCUACUUAGCAUUGGCCUUUCUUCUUACAUUGGGGAAAAAGGAAGACCAAAGAUUUAUGUAAGUUUCUUCAGGUUUAGUCCCAUUAAUUGAUAGCACAUCCUUAUAACACACACAAAAAAAAUAGCAAAAACAAACAAAACAAACAAAACAAAAACAACACCAAAAAAGCACAAAUUUUUCAGUUUUAAAUUUUUAUUAGAUUUUAUUUUUUUGCAAUACACAUAUGUGACACAUUCUGAUUGUUCUCUCCUCUCCCUUCCCUUAUCUCCGUCCCAUUCCUUUCAAGCCUCCUUUCUAAUAUCAACUUUCUGAGAGUAUGAUGUUGUUGGGCUCUGUUUUUUUUUCACAUUCAGUUUGUUUAAUCAGCAGCAUCCGUAUGAUUAUACAGAUGGGCUAUAUUUGAAGUCUGUUGUGGUCACUAGAAGGUAUACAACCGAAAACAGUGACUCUGUCUCUGAAAUUUUCUGUAGCAAGUAGUUCAGUAGUUAAGAUUUGAACAUGCUUAAUUCCUCCUCCUUCCAUGCCUAACUGUUGAUAAGCUUAUUAUUCUACAGCCUCAGUGUAGGCAUCUGUAGUCCCUAGCAGUUCCUGAUUGCAAUGGCUGGGUCAUGUGGGGAAGAUGGGACUCCUAAACCAUGCUCUGAAUGUUCCAGGUUUACAUUCUUUGCACCACCUCUCUAGUCAUGCUCUUUGAAUCUGGGAGGGGGAGUUAACACAAAUGUUUUGUUUAGUAAUAAGUCAUCAUUCAUCACUUGGUUUAAGGAUCUCAUGCAGCCAUCAGUCUCUACACUGACCAUUCCACUGGACAGAACCUUCUCUAAUUGAGGCUGACAGUAGUUUGUAAAUGAAUGUAAAUAUAAAUAUAUGGAAGGCAUUUUGACACUAUGAGAGUAUAACUGAAACACAAUAUUCAGCUUCCCUUUCAUAUGUAUAAAAGACUUAAAAGAAUAAUUUUGUCAAUACAAGCUGACAAAUAUAGGGUUUCCAUUCUGUUUAUUUUUAAAACAAUACAUAAUUUUAAAUGAUUUCCAAAUAUUUAAAGUUCGGUUGGGCAAAUAACUCAGGGGUAAAAUGCUUACUGCAUAAACACGAAGACUCGUGUUUGUGUCUCUAGCAUUCAUAUAAUAAGUCAAACAUAGCAGUGUUUCCAACUAAUGCUGGACGCAUGUAAACAGCAGGAACUGUGAAGCUUACCGGACACCAAAUUACUUGAACUAGCAAGGUAUAGGUUCAGGAGAAGAACUGUUUCAGAUAUUAGUUGUAGAAGAAGCCAAUUAAGUGUGAACUUUUCUACACACACACACACACACACACACACACACAAACACAAACACACACACACACACACAACAUGGUUAAGAAAGCUUCUAUUUAUGAUUUAGAGUGAGAAUUCUACAGGCUGUAAAAUAACAUGUAAAUUGACUGAGAAAAUGUAUUUUAUAAUCACAAAAUAUUUACAUAGUAUAAAAAGGCAAGAAAAUCAUUUUCACUUUUUAUGUUAUAAGUUUAAAUGCAAAAAUAAAAUUUAAAAUACUGAUGAAGUGUUUAAGGACACAGAGUAGUAGCAAUGGUUUGUCAUUAAAGAGUUGCUAUGUAAAAACUUUCAUUUUAUCUUAAGUUUCAUCGAUUUUAAGUUGGUAUUUGAAAUCUAAUGAAUAACAGAAUAAAUAAGAACAUUAAUUGAUUACUAUGGUUCAUGCAUGCAAUCCCAUUUAAAUAUCCUCUUGUGGUGUGUGUGCGUGUGUGUGUGUGUGUGUGUGUGUGUGUGUGUGUGUGUGCGUGUGUGUGUGUGUGUGUGUGUGUGUGUG